ensembl:lncRNA
ACUAUUUCCACAAGGACUCUCUCCUUGCUGACUUUCUACUUGCUUGCCAUUCAUAUGCCAUGUCUCUUCCACAGAGUGUUCAGAGUGCUGCUGCUCAUCUAACUCAUAACCUCUUAUUUCUCUCAUGGUACUACCCAACUCGAGUCACCUCUCAAGCUUCCUUCAUAAGCAGCUCUUGUCCAAAACCCUUGUUCCUGCAUUCCAGGCCUCAAUAGAUUAUGCAGCACAAAAUACUGUUCACAUGGACCAAUUUCAGGUUAUGAUACUUUAGACAUUCUCCAAGCAGUGAACUCAGUUGGUUGUACUUUUUUAACUCCCACUGGAUGAGGGUCUACCUAAGUACUAAAUGCUAACGUAAAUAGAAAAUGUCCAACUGCAAGUAAGAAAAGACACAACAGUAAUGCAGUGACUCAUCAUAUAACAUCAUAUAAUAAGGUCUAAGUACUCACAGUAGAGUCACUUAUUCAAAGGGAGGAGGCUAUUGUUUCUCAGGAUGAACACUAAUGAUAUUAACUUGCCAUUACCAGAUAAUUAUAGUAGUAAUGCUGGGAACACUCUCAGACCCUUGUAGCUGGACAGAUGGAUGGAUUGAAGGAGGAAUGGAUGGAUGCAGAGAUAAUGAAGAGAUUAAUUCACAAAUGACAUUACAGCUACUUAGACAUGGAUGGAUGGAUGGACGGAUGGACUGAUGGAUGUAUGGAUAAUAUAUACAGGGUGUCCCAAAAGUCUCCAUACAUAGGGGAAAUGAACACUUUUUACCAAACUGUAACACACAUGGAGUUGUCUCUCCCACUCAUGAUGUUAACACAUUUAUUGUUAACACAUCUAGUGUUAUGCAUGCAAUUGCAUGUCCAUCGCAGCCUUGCAACAGCUUUCUGAUCCAACCAUUAGAAUGAUUUCAAUAAGUUAUUUUGUCAAAGUCAUUUUAAAGACUAUCUGUAAAAAAAAACAAAGUUAUUUAUAUAUAUAUAUAUUUUCCUAAAAAUUAUACAUAGUAUAAUUAAUAA